rnacentral:misc_RNA from 1 species
GGUAUAAGCAAGCCUCUUUUGAAACCAGUCAGCUGGAUGAAAAAAUCUCUCCAAGAAAAAGUGAUGCAUAACAGGCCUGAAGUUAACGCAGACUUCCUGGAAGGCCUUCCGCUUGUCACUUUCCACAGUCAUGUGUUGCCGGCAUUUCAUAAAUGUCCAGUCUUCUGCUCCAUAGCGUCCAUGGGCACCUCCAUCUCUAGUGCUGCCUAUAAGAUAUUCACCGAGUGGAACAGUGCCAUUCACCCAUUCCAAAACACCCGCACUUGGAGUAAAAGGUACAACCUUGUAAGUGCGAAUUCUCAGCCUUCUUUUCCAAGUGUCCCGAUGAUUCUGUAAGAAAGUAUUAACUAAGCCAAAGAACUGUUCCAUCAC